rnacentral:rRNA from 1 species
AAUUUUGGACAAUGGGGGAAACCCUGAUCCAGCCAUCCCGCGUGUAUGAUGAAGGCCUUCGGGUUGUAAAGUACUUUUGGCAGAGAAGAAAAGGUAUCCCCUAAUACGGGAUACUGCUGACGGUAUCUGCAGAAUAAGCACCGGCUAACUACGUGCCAGCAGCCGCGGUAAUACGUAGGGUGCAAGCGUUAAUCGGACUUACUGGGCGUAAGGCGGGUGUAGGGGGGUCGGAAAGAAAGAUGGGGGAUCCCGGGGCGGGACCUUGGAGGUGCGGUUUGAACGGCCGGGGUAGAGUAUGUCAGAGGGGGGUAGAAUUCCACGUGUAGCAGUGAAAUGCGUAGAUAUGUGGAGGAAUACCGAUGGCGAAGGCAGCCCCCUGGGAUAAUACUGACGCUCAGACACGAAAGCGUGGGGAGCAAACAGG